rnacentral:rRNA from 1 species
AACGUAGGAGACAAACGUUAUCCGGAGUUACUGGGCGUAAAGGGCGUGUAGGUGGUUUCGUAAGUCUGGCGUGAAAUUUUUCGGCUUAACCGGGAAAGGUCGUCGGAUACUGCAGAACUAGAGGACGGUAGAGGCGUGUGGAAUUCCGGGUGUAGUGGUGAAAUGCGUAGAGAUCCGGAGGAACACCAGUGGCGAAGGCGACACGCUGGGCCGUACCUGACACUGAGGCGCGAUAGCAUGGGGAGCAAACAGG